UUUUCGAGGUUGACCUCGGAUCAGGU
rnacentral:rRNA from 2 species